rnacentral:rRNA from 1 species
UACAGAGGUCCCAAGCGUUGUUCGGAUUCAUUGGGCGUAAAGGGUGCGUAGGCGGCGCGGUAAGUCGGGUGUGAAAUCUCGGAGCUUAACUCCGAAACUGCAUUCGAUACUGCCGUGCUUGAGGACUGGAGAGGAGACUGGAAUUUACGGUGUAGCGGUGAAAUGCGUAGAUAUCGUAAGGAAGACCAGUGGCGAAGGCGGGUCUCUGGACAGUUCCUGACGCUGAGGCACGAAGGCCAGGGGAGCGAAACGGG